rnacentral:rRNA from 1 species
CACGUAGGGUCCGAGCGUUGUCCGGAAUUACUGGGCGUAAAGCGUGCGCAGGCGGUUGGGUCAGUCGCUGGUGAAAGCCCCACGCUCAACGUGGGAAUGGCCAACGAGACGGCCCGACUGGAGGCAGGGAGAGGCCGGUGGAAUUCCGGGUGUAGUGGUGAAAUGCGUAGAGAUCCGGAGGAACACCAGAGGCGAAGGCGGAUCUCUGGGCCUGUCCUGACGCUGAGGCGCGAAAGCUAGGGGAGCGAACAGG